CCAUGCAAUAAUAUAAGUAAUAUACAUAAAAACCGUGGUCACAGUAGUUAUUAGAAUGACAUAAAAUGUCCUUCACUUGAUAUGGUUUUCCUCCUCUCUCUCUCUCCUUCUCUCUCCUGGUCCUGACUGCUUCAGAGCUCUGAGAACAGCCACAAGACAAAACAGCUGGAUGGAGAGAAAGAGGAUCUGCUGUGCCAGCAUGUAAUACAAGUGAAACUCCAUCAAGAAAAACCACCAGCUUAUAAAAUGAACCACAAAGGUCCGGGCUUCUUCAGAGCUCUGAGAACAGCCAAACAGCAGAACAGGUUUAUGGUGAGGAAAACUGUGUAGUGUACCAGAAAUGUAAGGCUGUCUUCAGUGCAUCAGUGAUAAGUGCAGUUCUCACACAAAAUCUACAGCGCUGGAUAUGUUGCAUGUCAGGUUUAUUAUUCUAUGCAAAUUGGAAUAUGCAUUUGGUGAUUUAUGAGUGUUAACAUAGAAAAGUUAACUACUUCAUUAGUCAUUAGUUAACCACUGAUUCCUAGAUUCUCACAUAUUCGUAUUUAAAAAUACUUGAGGAAGGUAAUGAUUUCUUAUUUACCCGAUAAUAGCAGGAUACUAUAGGUCUUUAUAUACUUAAUAAAUAGACAAAUAAUUGAGAAUAAAUAAAAUAGUUAUAUUAUUUUGUAUGACAUUUGUGUUAGUAUCUG
rnacentral:lncRNA from 12 species